AUCAAGAGAGCAUCCCAGCAGUGCCAUCACAACACAGGGCUCGAAUGUGGACAGGAGGAGGACCUAAGUGGACCCGGAGGCUGAGCUGGCCUCGCAGCACUGGUGGUGGGGGAGGGCUGAUGGUCAGGACUCUGGGUCUUUGGCACUGCUGCCUAGGCCGUGGCCCUCAGUCUGCCCAUCUGUGAAAUGAGGGGGAGCUGGUCCUGACUGCCUCCCAGGGACCCUGUGAAAAGCCGCUCUGAACUCCUUGCCAGAGAGGAGGUUUGCCGGUGCCACAAUCCAGCAUUUCUGGGGUUCACUCUGCUCUGGGUACUGUGUAAAGGACUCCACAGCCAUCAACUUCCCUUCAUCCUUGCCGUGUCUUUGAAAGACUGGAUGAUGAGAGGCACAGCUGAGUCCGGAGCAGACUGAGCCACCUAAGAGGGGAGGAACCGCUGCAGAGAAACCGUGUUAAGCCUUUUUGAAGUUCCAGAGGGAGAACAAGAGAGCGGAGGCUCCUGGUGGCUGGUGACAGCUGCUCUUGGCUGGGAGAGCAGAGAACAGGGGACAGGAGAGAAGCCCCGAGAGUACUGAAGCUGAGGCUGGGGCGGUCUUCACUUCCCUCUUUCCUCGGCCCUUUUCCUGUUCUCUUGUCUUGUCUCUCUUUCUCUACUUUCCUUCUCCCUAGCCCAGUCUCUCACCGCUCUUCAGCCUCUGGGCCUUUCCUUCUUCCUCUCUUGCCCUCAUUCUUCCUUCUCUGUCCCUCUUGUCUUCUCUUUUACCUCUUCUCUUCUUCCCUCCUUCCUACAGCUAUGCCCUCUUCCCUCCUUUCUCUUGUCCCCAACCAGGGCAUUAGAAAUGCAUUCCAGUUACACUGAUCUGAUCACUGCAUAUUGUAUGCAUGCAUCAAAAUAUCACAUGUACCCCAGAAAUAUGUAAAUUACUGCAUAUCAAUAAAAAGAAAUGUAGCUUCUUUGCCUCACAUAC
rnacentral:lncRNA from 1 species